UACAGAGGGUGCGAGCGUUGUCCGGAAUCACUGGGCGUAAAGGGCGCGUAGGUGGUUGGGUAAGCGUGUGGUGAAAGCCCGGGGCUCAACCCCGGGUCGGCCAUGCGAACUGCCCGACUGGAGCACGGUAGAGGCCAAUGGAAUUCCGGGUGUAGCGGUGGAAUGCGUAGAGAUCCGGAAGAACACCGGUGGCGAAGGCGGUUGGCUGGGCCGUGGCUGGACACUGAUGCGCGACAGCGUGGGGAGCAAACAGG
rnacentral:rRNA from 1 species